AAAGUUUUAAGUUAAAUAAAACUAGUAACCUUCAAAGUUACUAAUAAAGUGUAAUCUUUAAGCUUUA
rnacentral:tRNA from 1 species